GAUGAAGAACGCAGCGAAAUGCGAUAAGUAAUGUGAAUUGCAGAAUUCAGUGUAUCAUCGAAUCUUUGAACGCACAUUGCGCCCGUCAGUAUUCUGGCGGGCAUGCCUGUUCGAGCGUCAUUACGCCCCUCAAGUCCCCUGUGGACUUGGUGUUGGGGAUCGGCGAGGCUGGUUUUCCAGCACAGCCGUCCCUUAAAUUAAUUGGCGGUCUCGCCGUGGCCCUCCUCUGCGCAAUAGUAAAACACUCGCAACAGGAGCCCGGCGCGGUCCACUGCCGUAAAACCCCCCAACUUUUUAUAGUUGACCUCGAAUCAGGUAGGACUACCCGCUGAACUUAAGCAUAUCAAUAAGCGGAGGA
rnacentral:misc_RNA from 1 species